rnacentral:rRNA from 1 species
GACGAACGCUGGCGGCGUGCUUAACACAUGCAAGUCGAACGGAAAGGCCUCUUUCGGGGGGUACUCGAGUGGCGAACGGGUGAGUAACACGUGAGUAACCUGCCCUUGACUUUGGGAUAACUUCAGGAAACUGGGGCUAAUACCGGAUAGGAGCUCCUGCUGCAUGGUGGGGGUUGGAAAGUUUCGGCGGUUGGGGAUGGACUCGCGGCUUAUCAGCUUGUUGGUGGGGUAGUGGCUUACCAAGGCUUUGACGGGUAGCCGGCCUGAGAGGGUGACCGGCCACAUUGGGACUGAGAUACGGCCCAGGCUCCUACGGGAGGGGGCAGUGGGGACGAUUGCACAAUGGGUGGACGCCUGAUGCAGCAACGCCGUGGGCGGGAGGACGGGCUUCGGGUUGUAAACCGCUUUCGCUCAUGACGAAGCUUUGUGUGACGGUAGUGGGUAAAGAAGCACCGGCUAACUACGUG